rnacentral:misc_RNA from 1 species
GGCCAACAGAUCGCCAGAUCGUUGAGCUCCAUUGGCGGGAUUUCGCCGUCUACGUUUCUCUUUCUUCGCGGACGAACACGCGCUGGGGCUGCAACCUUGCAGAUCCCUGGUCCUUGACUGGAUAUGCGUUAGGGGCUUGUAGCUCAGUUGGUUAGAGCGCGCGCUUGAUAAGCGUGAGGUCGGAAGUUCAAGUCUUCCCAGGCCCACCACACUCAUCGAGUGAGCAUUCGUCUUCUGGUUACGGGGCCAUAGCUCAGCUGGGAGAGCGCGUGCUUUGCAAGCAUGAGGUCGUCGGUUCGAUCCCGUCUGGCUCCACCAGAUGGUUUGAUCAUCGACUGAUCGUGCACCGUCGUCCGCGAAACAUCACUUCGCAUCCUGCUAGUCUGGAUAGACAGCAAGAUGCGUGUUUUCUGACAUCGUAAAGAGGAGAUCGAUCCGAGUUGGGUCGUGCAGCAGAUUGUUGCGCGAAUCCUCCAUUAUCUCCGGAUCAUUUUCGGCGCUCGACGCUGACCGCAAGGUUGGCUGAGAGUUGUAAAAUGAUCCUUUUAGCGAAGCUUGACCGCCUCGCUAUCGGAACGAUCUUACGAAGCAAGCUGGUCUUUCUAAUCAUUGUCCGGCUGCAGAUAGCGUUCAUCGAGGGCGCGUGCCGCAAGGCAAUUCUGCAGACAACAUUCUGCCGAGUGUGUGGACAUUGAUAAUGAGAGCAAUCAAGUGCCUUAAGGGUGUUCGGUGGAUGCCUUGGCGCUGAGAGGCGAUGAAGGACGUGCUACGCUGCGAUAAGCCGUGGGGAGCUGCGAAGAAGCUUUGAUCCGCGGAUUU